UUCCGCGUCCCCUGUCGGCGUCUGGAACAUGUGGCGUUUAGGAGGGAUCGUGCCGGAGGUGGAGCGUGCAGCAAGUCCCCCUGACCGGGGCUGUUACCCAGAGUGGGUGCGAGGCCCAUAGCUGCUAGGUCCCCUACGGAUGUCACCUCUUGGGAGUCGGGUUGCUUGGGAGUGCAGCCCUAAUUGGGUGGUAAACUCCACCUAAGGCUAAAUACGGCCGUGAGACCGAUAGCAAACAAGUACCGUGAGGGAAAGUUGCAAAGAACUUUGAAGAGAGAGUUCAAGAGUACGUGAAACCGCUCAGAGGCAAACGGGUGGGCCCUCGAAAUCCGAUGGUGGGGGGAUUCAGUCAGGUGGUGCGGAGGUGGCGUUGAUCGUUGAUACGGACCCGUCCAGGCCGGGUCGGCGCCUAGAGUCUCCGUCCUCCCUGACGCACUUCCUCCCGCUCGUAGGACGCCGCAACCGGUUGGGUAGAUGCGUGCGUCGGCCAUAAGGACUGAGCGCCGGAAGGUGGCCGGUGGCGGGGCUUCGGUUCCGUCGCCGGUUGUUUAUCCAGCUCGUCCGUGGCACGACACCCGACCGUGGUUGAGUGGUCCUGUUGGGACCCAGCUGUGCCCUCCGGAGGAGCGGGCGAGUCGGCAGGUGAGCUGCGGCGGUGUUUCCCCACUCGAGAAGUGGGCGACCUGCCGUGGCCACU
rnacentral:rRNA from 1 species